UGAGGAAUAUUGGUCAAUGGGCGAGAGCCUGAACCAGCCAAGUCGCGUGAGGGAAGACAGUCCUAUGGAUUGUAAACCUCUUUUGCCGGGGAGCAAAGAGCGGCACGUGUGCCGCGCCGAGAGUACCCGGAGAAAAAGCAUCGGCUAACUCCGUGCC
rnacentral:rRNA from 1 species